UCCGGAUUGGAAGCCCCAAGGAUUCUGAGAGCCCCGCUAAUCUGGGGAUGACUCCUAGGAGUAGAAGACGGUCCAUCUUAGUUGUCACGAGUAUCUCACUUCUUGGAAUCCGGCGGCGUUCACGUGUGUGCUCCAGAGAAGGGCGCCAGAGGGUAUUCCCUGAAAGUGAAAGGUCGGCGAAAGAGGAGUAAAGACGGCGAGACGCGUCCACGCAGGGGGAGUCUGUGCGGUUUGGAGGAACGCGCCAAUGUCUGCACUCAUGAGGAGCCCCCAAGGGCGGUUUUAAGAGGGUGAAGCAGGACCGGGCGCAGUGACUUACGCCUGUAAUCUAAGUGCUUUGGAAGGCCUAGGCAGGAGGAUCUCGAGCCCAGGAGUUCGAGAUUAGCCUGAGACCUCAUCGCUACCAAAAUAAAUAAAGUAGGCAUCCAUUUGUGUAAAACAAACCAUAUAUACACACAUAUAUACAUAUAUAAACAUUUGUAUAUAUAGGUAUAGGCAUAGUUAUCUAUACCUUGUAAACCAAAAAUAAAAUUGUAAGCCUCC